GUGGGCAGCAGUUCCCCCUGGAGCCUAGGGUCACUCUGAGGGAGGGAGCACGGUGAGGGGGCUUCCAGUUUGCAGUGGGAAGAGCUGCAGAGAGAAACAAGAGGUUAGAGGGCACUUCCCUGGGUUGGAGGUGAGUCUGGCCAGUUCUGGGCAGACAGGGUAGAGCGUGCCACCCACCCAGCCCUGGCUACCCAGCCCGCUGGGCGCAGCAGGCAUGGAAGCCGACCCCGGGAUGGAGAGCCCGCGGCCCUGUUGGGGCACGCUCGGGAGCGGGCUUGCGUGCUGCACGGCUGUUUUCCUCUUGGGGAGUCAGGCCAGGAAAGGGCAGAAUGAGCUCGGCCUCUCCUUGCCCUGGGGGCUGGGAGAGGAAGCUGGGUCACACACAGGCCAGAAGCAGGGGGGAAACGGGGCAUCUAACUAGGACACAGUCGCAUCCAGGGGUCAGUCACCUGACCCUACAGGGCCCACCACCUUCAGACUGAGAUGGAAACGCCCUCUGGGAGAACCCUGAUCCGCCCCACCCUACACAGGCCCCGGAGGUACUGGGCCUGCGCCCGCCACACCUUGGCCGCGAGUGGCCUCUGCUUGGGUGGGCUCCCGUCCUCCGGCAUCCGCCCCCACCAAGGCUCCAGAAGAGGGGCGCAUGGGCCUCCGUCUUCGGCCCGCUUCCCAGGCACUCACCCAUAGCUGCCAGGCAGCUUCCACUGCGCGCCCAGGCGCUUGGAGAUCUCGGAGUUGUGCAUCUUGGGGUUCUGCUGCGCCAUCUGGCGGCGCUGAGCGGAG
rnacentral:lncRNA from 1 species